rnacentral:snRNA from 22 species
GUCCAAGACAUUUCGGUGUUUUGGACAUUUGGUCAAUUUGAAACAAUACAGAGAUGAUCAGCAGUUCCCCUGCAUAAGGAUGAACCGUUUUACAAAGAGAUUUACUUCAUUUUU